UUCCUCUCCGGCACCGCACGGUUCAGCCCAAAUCAGAACCGAGCUCAGCGUCGAAGGCAGACGGACGGAGGAGACGAGCGGGGGGGAGGGGGCACUCGGGGAUUAACAAGCCGUCCUUGGCGCAUCUCCUCCGGGUGCGCUUGGUUUUGGAUCGCGGCGCCUCCUCGGAGCCGGAGGAGCCACAGCAGGAGGUUCGGAGCGGAGGAGACCGAGUGUAUGGAGGCUGGCGGCACAGACAGCGUGCCCCCCGGCCAGGAGAGCUGGGACCCCGCCCGGCCACAGCUUCCUGCCUCAGCUGACGGUCACAGCUGUCACCCAGGAGGAAGAUAAGAGAUUCCUGAAGUGUCAAAAAAAGGAUGAAGAAAAAAUAAAAAAUGUAAGACAAGUUGGAGCCAAAAUAACAAUAAAUUAAAGGAAUAACCAAUGGAGUGAUAACAUUAGUGGAUUUCCCAUGAAAGAGAAGAAACAAAGGAAAAAAACUGGAAAAAAGGCUAAAUCAGAAGAAAGACAGACCUGGGAGAGGAAAACAACUGGAUGACCUCCAGAGCAGCAGGUUAUCCACCCUCCAAAGAUGGCGUCCAACUUUAAUGACAUUGUCAAGCAGGGCUAUGUGCGCAUGCGUAGCCGGAAACUUGGGAUUUAUCGACGCUGCUGGCUUGUGUUCAAGAAGUCAUCCAGUAAAGGACCUCGUCGUCUGGAGAAAUAUCCUGAUGAGAAGGCUGCCUUUAUCAGAGCAUAUCC